rnacentral:lncRNA from 1 species
AAAUGAUUAUUUUUUUUGGCUUUUGAAGAAAAUAGGACGAUCCAAAAAACAUUUAAAUAAAUUGAAAAGCCAAAAUAAUCAUUGAUGAGAGAUUUAACCAAAAGAAUUAAGGUGAGCGAUUCAGGCUCUUGAGAGCCUCUUGUUUUUUUUAAUUUAUAUUUGUAUAUUUGGUAUCAGAAAGUUACACAAACACAUUAGUUUCAUGUCAAAACUAUUUUUUGGGAUUGGUCAUACUUGCCAACUUUUCAAAAUGCCCAUGUAAGUUUUACGUGCAACAUGGCUCUUAUAGUCCUACAAAACCUUCAAGGGGGCCUUCAAAUAUAUUUUAAUGUUGUUUUUUGGCUUCUUUAUACUUUUACAAGGCUAUAGCCAAUAGUAAAAUUGAUUGUUUUGUUUAAAAUAAUGGACAAAAUUGCACUUUCAAAAUUUCCAUUUGGGAGCCUCCAUGGGGGAAAUAUCCCGCAAAUAGUGACAGUUGGCAGGUAUGAUUGGUAAUCAUUUUAAUGUGAUGAACAAAUUAAUUUACAAUUCUAUGCAAAAUACAAACUAUGACUAGAAACUGUAUAUUACCUGGUAAAUCAUCUGACAUGUAUAUUUCUGCUGUAAAUGAUAUUAUUUACAACUAUUGAAUGGCUGAUAUGAGUACAUGUUCUACCUCCAUCUAUAAGUUUGCUGGUAAAAUGUAUACAAAACAUAUCUAAAAGGCUUCUUCUUUUUAUGCCACACCUACGAUAGUAGGGGGCAUUAUGUUUUCUGGUCUGUGUCCGUCUGUUCGUUCGUUCAUUUGUACGUCCGUCGGUCUGUCUUUCCUUUCAUCCGUCUCUCCCA